rnacentral:rRNA from 1 species
UACGGGGGGGGCAAGCGUUGUCCGGAAUCAUUGGGCGUAAAGAGCUCGUAGGCGGCUUAGUAAGUCGGGUGUGAAAACCCCAGGCUCAACCUGGGGACGCCACCCGAUACUGCUAUAGCUAGAGUCCAGUAGGGGAGUGUGGAAUUCCCAGUGUAGCGGUGAAAUGCGCAGAUAUCAGGAGGAACACCGGUGGCGAAGGCGGGUCUCUGGGCCGAUACUGACGCUGAGGAGCGAAAGCGUGGGGAGCGAACAGG